GACGGAGGAUGCAAGCGUUAUCCGGAAUGAUUGGGCGUAAAGCGUCCGCAGGUGGCAGUUCAAGUCUGCUGUCAAAGACCGGGGCUUAACUUCGGAAAGGCAGUGGAAACUGAACAGCUAGAGUAUGGUAGGGGCAGAGGGAAUUCCUGGUGUAGCGGUGAAAUGCGUAGAGAUCAGGAAGAACAUCGGUGGCGAAGGCGGCUCUCUGGAACGCAACUGACGCUGAGACGCGAAAGCGUGGGGAGCAAACAGG
rnacentral:rRNA from 1 species